AUUUCUAUUUUACUCCGAUCGGCAGCACCAGCUUGGCUAUGAAGAAGAGAGAAGUUUCGCGCCGACACACACGAACCAUCUUUCACACGGAGAUUUCUGUGGGGAAGUGAGUGAUGAGCAUGGGAAGGAUUCCACCAGCAGCUACGGAGAAAAGAUAUCAGGGACAGUGGAACCCAUCUAUACUUGCUGGCGACUGGUGGAAUGUGCUCAGGGAUGACUACGCUGUUCAUCUUCUCACAUUGAUCUGGGGAGAAACCUUCUCUGCAAACUCACCUCUCGCAGCUCCUGCCCGAGUCCGUUGAGCCUCUCAUUCUCUGACUGUGCAUUGGAAGCCACAGAACGACUCAAGACGGCGAAGUGCUAACAGGCUGGACCAUCUGUAACUGUGUCAUACCCAACGUCACCCUCUGCAUGCUUCGUAAUGCGCCUGCCAGGACACCAGCGCAGAAUUCUCUGCUGGGGAAGAGGAGCUGAGGCAGACAAAGACAGACGAUGGAAAGACUAGACGGCACACCGCAAACUGGUGGAAGCGACUCACGAGGCUUCCGAUGAGUGACUCGCUAGUUUUAACCCUAACCCAGCCAGCGGCCGCCAUCCCAGAGAUUGGGGUAUACCACUGACGAGCUUCCUGCUCGCUCUCCAGUUCUGCACACUUGUGCUUCAGCGCCUGGUUCUCCUCCAGGACGGCCAGCCCGCACUCUGCAGCACGGAUCUUCUCCCCGUUCGCUUCGCUCAGCUCCCGGGCGAGUCGUUCCACCUCGGCCCGGUACUGGUCCACCGACUCCCCGCAUCCUGCACCGGCAGCCAUCGCCCCUCACUGUCCGGCACACUUCGUCACCUCCUCCCGCCCAGUCGGUCGGUCUGCGGUUCUCCUCCUUCUCUCUUCCUCCAGUGCAGAGGCGGGCGGGGUGGAGGGUGGAGAUGCGGAAUAUCCGCCCCCUUCCCUGGAGGCUAGGCAGCAAAUGGAAAGAAACAAAUUAAAAAGAGAUGUGAUACUUGUGUGGCUCCCCCAGCAACCGGGUAAAAGCACAAACAACCAUAGCAGCGUAUAAAUCAAGCCGUGUACUUUGAGCAAAAACAGCGUCGUUUCUGCUUAUUCAUGGGUGAAAGGGCGCCAUCUGGUGGCCUUCGGGUCUCAGUGCAAGCUUACAAACGCCACCCAGUGUACUGUGUAGUUCAUCAUCACGACAGACCUCCACUGCAGCAUUCAAGAGCACACGACAGCACAAGACAGCCCAUCAACACAGCACCAAUCAACAUGGCCGGUCCAAACGGGUCACGUGAAAAAUCAAAGGAUGAUACUUUGUUAAGCGACACAUAUCGAUACACAAAUAAUAUGAAAUUUGAUCUA